rnacentral:rRNA from 1 species
UACGUAGGGUGCGAGCGUUAAUCGGAAUUACUGGGCGUAAAGCGUGCGCAGGCGGUUUUGUAAGCCCGAUGUGAAAUCCCCGGGCUUAACCUGGGAAUGGCAUUUGGGACUGCAAAGCUUGAGUGCGGCAGAGGGGACUGGAAUUCCUGGUGUAGCAGUGAAAUGCGUAGAGAUCAGGAGGAAUACCGAUGGCGAAGGCAGGUCCCUGGGCUGACACUGACGCUCAUGCACGAAAGCGUGGGGAGCAAACAGG